AACACUUCUACCUCUGAGAAUCCCCUGCUUUGGGGGCUUUGUUUUUUAGAGAAACCUACUUAAAAUGAAAAAGCAUACUGAAGACAAUUUAUAAAAGUAAAAUCCUUGUAAGAGGCACGGGAACUACUUGAAGAUGCCAUGUGGGGGUCUUGGAGAAAAUGCAUACACUCAUUGAAGAUAAGCAAAAAGAAACUGGUGUGGCAUAGCUAAAUAGCAGGGUAAAGAGAUAUCGUCUGGAAAGAAGAUGAGUACUGAGAUAAUGAUACUAUGAAUUGUGAAGAAAAAGCUGACUGUGAGGACUUGCACAAGACUUUUUUAGUUGCUGGCACCACAGACACGUGGGCCCUAUGACCCGUGGUAUUGCUCUAGUCCCUGAAUGAAGAUUGAUUCUUCCCUUAUCUGAGAUACAAGCUGAAAUGCAGUGCGAUCUCUUCGGACUCUGACUCAGACAGCACAUUUAGGUGGAAUUACUUCUUCUAUGCAUCCCCAUGUCCAUUUUUAUAUCGAGCAUGCCAAAAGAGACUAAACUUUUCAAUCCCUGAAACUAAAGACUAUUAGAACACAAUGAAUCUGACCAGGAUAAAAAUAUGAAAACCUCAGGGUGAGGGAAAGUUAAUUAUAAGACUGGAAAACAAAUUACUGCUUGCUUCACAUGUCAUUCAAGUGUGUUGGCUUUUCCUUAGUCCUUCUUUCAAACCCUGCUCAUUCUUCCCUCUCCCAGUGAUUGCUCAACUUGAGACAAUCUGCAUUUUCCAUCUUGAGAUUUUUCCUCAGAGUCCCUGAGCAAAUCUCCUUGUUCAGUCACCUUUUUGAGGCUUGACUGUGGUUCUGCUUUCUGAAGCUGUCAAAAACAGUCAGUCUUAGCUGCCCUGUAGCUUCCCUACUUGCUGGCUGUCCCUCUCUGUCACUUGUGUGCUGCUUUUCUGUGUUUUUAAUGGCUAGGAGUGCUCAGUGUUGAGGGAAGAAGUCUCCUUUCUUCCCUAGUCUCCUUUCUUCUCCACCAACUUAUUCCCUAAAACUGCUCUUUUAGUCCUUCUUUAUCACAU